GAUGAACGCUGGCGGCGUGCUUAACACAUGCAAGUCGAACGAUGAAGCCCAGCUUGCUGGGUGGAUUAGUGGCGAACGGGUGAGUAACACGUGAGUAACCUGCCCUUAACUCUGGGAUAAGCCUGGGAAACUGGGUCUAAUACCGGAUAGGAGCGCCUACCGCAUGGUGGGUGUUGGAAAGAUUUAUCGGUUUUGGAUGGACUCGCGGCCUAUCAGCUUGUUGGUGAGGUAAUGGCUCAACAAGGCGACGACGGGUAGCCGGCCUGAGAGGGUGACCGGCCACACUGGGACUGAGACACGGCCCAGACUCCUACGGGAGGCAGCAGUGGGGAAUAUUGCACAAUGGGCGAAAGCCUGAUGCAGCGACGCCGCGUGAGGGAUGACGGCCUUCGGGUUGUAAACCUCUUUCAGUAGGGAAGAAGCGAAAGUGACGGUACCUGCAGAAGAAGCACCGGCUAACUACGUG
rnacentral:rRNA from 1 species